rnacentral:rRNA from 1 species
AUUGAACGCUGGCGGCAUGCCUUACACAUGCAAGUCGAACGGCAGCGCGGGAGCAAUCCUGGCGGCGAGUGGCGAACGGGUGAGUAAUACAUCGGAACGUGCCCAAUCGUGGGGGAUAACGCAGCGAAAGCUGUGCUAAUACCGCAUACGAUCUACGGAUGAAAGCAGGGGAUCGCAAGACCUUGCGCGAAUGGAGCGGCCGAUGGCAGAUUAGGUAGUUGGUGAGGUAAAGGCUCACCAAGCCUUCGAUCUGUAGCUGGUCUGAGAGGACGACCAGCCACACUGGGGCUGAGACACGGCCCAGACUCCUACGGGAGGCAGCAGUGGGGAAUUUUGGACAAUGGGCGAAAGCCUGAUCCAGCCAUGCCGCGUGCAGGAUGAAGGCCUUCGGGUUGUAAACUGCUUUUGUACGGAACGAAACGGUCUUUUCUAAUAAAGAAGGCUAAUGACGGUACCGUAAGAAUAAGCACCGGCUAACUACGUG